GGGCCGGUAGCUCAGUUGGUUAGAGCAAGGGACUCAUAAUCCCUGGGUCUGCGGUUCAAGUCCGUGCCGGCCUA
rnacentral:tRNA from 1 species